UACAGGGGGUGCAAACGUUGCUCGGAAUUAUUGGGCGUAAAGCGCGCGUAGGCGGCUACUUAAGUCGGAUGUGAAAGCCCUUGGCUCAACUGAGGAAGUGCACCCGAAACUGAGUGGCUAGAGUACGAAAGAGGGUCGCGGAAUUCCCGGUGUAGAGGUGAAAAUUCGUAGAUAUCGGGAGGAACACCGGUGGCGAAGGCGGCGACCUGGGUCGAUACUGACGCUGAUGCGCGAAAGCGUGGGGAGCAAACAGGG
rnacentral:rRNA from 1 species